rnacentral:rRNA from 1 species
UUGGGAGGUAAAANUGGUAACAAGGUNUNAGUUGGUGAUUCAGCGGAGGGAUCAUUACCAGAGUUCUCNCAACUCCCAACCCCUCCUGUGAACAUACCUAUAGUUGCUUNGGCGGACUCGCCCCAGCGUCCGGACGGCCCCGCGCCGGCCCGCGACCUGGAACCAGGCGGCCGCCGGGGACCCCAAACCCUGUAUCUCAUCAGUAUCUCUGAAUCCGCCGCAAGGCAACCAAACGAAUCAAAACUUUCAACAACGGAUCUCUUGGUUCUGGCAUCGAUGAAGAACGCAGCGAAACGCGAUAAGUAAUGUGAAUUGCAGAAUUUAGUGAAUCAUCGAAUCUUUGAACGCACAUUGCGCCCGCCAGCAUUCUGGCGGGCAUGCCUGUCCGAGCGUCAUUUCAACCCUCGACGUCCCCCGGGACGUCGGCGCUGGGGACCAGCAGCACACCGCUGGCCCUGAAAUCGAGUGGCGACCCGUCCGCGGCGACCUCUGCGCAGUACUCCAACUCGCUCUGGGAACCCGACGCGGCCCGCCGUAAAACGCCCAACUUAAAACGUUGACCUCGGAUCAGGUAGGACUACCCGNUGAACUUAAGCAUAUCAAUAAGCGGAGGAAAAGAAACCAACAGGGAUUGCCCCAGUAACGGCGAGUGAAGCGGCAACAGCUCAAAUUUGAAAUCUGGCCCCCGGGUCCGAGUUGUAAUUUGCAGAGGAUGCUUUGGGCGAGGUUCCUUCCGAGUUCCCUGGAACGGGACGCCACAGAGGGUGAGAGCCCCGUCUGGUCGGACACCGAGCCCGUGUAAAGCUCCUUCGACGAGUCGAGUAGUUUGGGAAUGCUGCUCAAAAUGGGAGGUAUAUGUCUUCUAAAGCUAAAUAUUGGCCAGAGACCGAUAGCGCACAAGUAGAGUGAUCGAAAGAUGAAAAGCACUUUGAAAAGAGGGUUAAAAAGUACGUGAAAUUGUUGAAAGGGAAGCGCCUAUGACCAGACUUGCGCCCGGUGAAUCAUCCAGCGUUCUCGCUGGUGCACUUUGCCGGGCACAGGCCAGCAUCAGUUUGGCGCGGGGGAUAAAGGCUUCGGGAAUGUGGCUCCCUCGGGAGUGUUAUAGCCCGCUGCGCAAUACCCUGCACCGGACUGAGGUACGCGCAUCGCAAGGAUGCUGGCGUAAUGGUCAUCAGCGACCCGUCUUGAAACACGGACCAAGGAGUCGUCUUCGUAUGCGAGUGUUCGGGUGUUAAACCCUUACGCGGAAUGAAAGUGAACGUAGGUGAGAGCUUCGGCGCAUCAUCGACCGAUCCUGAUGUUCUCGGAUGGAUUUGAGUAAGAGCAUACGGGGCCGGACCCGAAAGAAGGUGAACUAUGCCUGUAUAGGGUGAAGCCAGAGGAAACUCUGGUGGAGGCUCGCAGCGGUUCUGACGUGCGAAUCGAUCGUCAAAUAUGGGCAUGGGGGCGAAAGACUAAUCGAACCUUCUAGUAGCUGGUUUCCGCCGAAGUUUCCCUCAGGAUAGCAGUGUUGAACUCAGUUUUAUGAGGUAAAGCGAAUGAUUAGGGACUCGGGGGCGCUAUAUUGCCUUCAUCCAUUCUCAAACUUUAAAUAUGUAAGAAGCCCUUGUUACUUAAUUGAACGUGGGCAUUCGAAUGUAUCAACACUAGUGGGCCAUUUUUGGUAAGCAGAACUGGCGAUGCGGGAUGAACCGAACGCGAGGUUAAGGUGCCGGAGUGGACGCUCAUCAGACACCACAAAAGGUGUUAGUACAUCCUGACAGCAGGACGGUGGCCAUGGAAGUUGGAAUCCGCUAAGGACUGUGUAACAACUCACCUGCCGAAUGUACUAGCCCUGAAAAUGGAUGGCGCUCAAGCGUCCCACCCAUACCUCGCCCUCAGGGUAGGAACGAUGCCCUGAGGAGUAGGCGGACGUGGAGGUCAGUGACGAANNNUAGGGCNGAGCCCGG